rnacentral:rRNA from 1 species
UACAGAGGUCCCGAGCGUUGUUCGGAUUCACUGGGCGUAAAGGGUGCGUAGGUGGCGUGGUAAGUUUGAUGUGAAAGCUCAGGGCUUAACCCUGAAAUGGCAUUGAAUACUACUGUGCUGGAGGUUUGGAGGGGGGACUGGAAUUCUUGGUGUAGCAGUGAAAUGCGUAGAUAUCAGGAAGAACACCAAUGGCGAAGGCAGCUCUCUGGGACGGUACUGACGCUGAGACGCGAAAGCGUGGGGAGCGAACAGG